rnacentral:rRNA from 1 species
GGGAAUAUUGCACAAUGGGCGAAAGCCUGAUGCAGCAACGCCGCGUGAGUGAUGAAGGCCUUAGGGUUGUAAAGCUCUUUUACCCGGGAUGAUAAUGACGGUACUUGAGGAGGAAGCCCCGGCUAACUACGUGCCAGCAGCCGCGGUAAUACGUAGGGGGCUAGCGUUAUCCGGAAUUACUGGGCGUAAAGGGUGCGUAGGUGGUUUCUUAAGUCAGAGGUGAAAGGCUACGGCUCAACCGUAGUAAGCCUUUGAAACUGGGAAACUUGAGUGCAGGAGAGGAGAGUGGAAUUCCUAGUGUAGCGGUGAAAUGCGUAGAUAUUAGGAGGAACACCAGUUGCGAAGGCGGCUCUCUGGACUGUAACUGACACUGAGGCACGAAAGCGUGGGGAGC